rnacentral:rRNA from 1 species
CGCUCCCCUCCCCUCCCCUGCCCCUCCCCUCAGCUCCCUAUCUCAAGUAACACCAGCAGAGGACCAACAGGGAAAAACCUUAUGGCAGAUGCUAUGCCUAGAUCAUCCAAUCCUCCAAUAAACCCGACCUCGGCCUUUGCGGUUUGUGAAAAACCUCGAUGGCCUUCGUCGUGCGAGAUCGGGCACGGACCGAACAGCCAUCCGUCUGUACCAACGAACAGUAGCCUUGUCGUUAAGGCGGCCAAUCCACGGGAAGCUCUAAGAACAAGGGAUGCUGCUUGGUCCACCACAUCCGUCCUUCCACCACGCAAAUACCGAAAGAAAACCGAGAUCGCGGACCCAAUAACAGGCCCAGCUACGGGAUCCAAACAAUCAUCAGUACUCCGAAUUUCACACCCUCAAAAGAAAAGAAAAACAGAUCGCGGACCCAAUAACAGGCCCAGCUACGGGCUCCAAACAAUCCAUCGGUACUCCGAAUUUCACACACUCAACUCCCUGGCCCAACUACGACAGCCCAUUCAUCAUUAUUUAUAUAAGCCGGUCAUCCCCAUUCCCUGCGCGUAACCUAACAUCUACUCGAGUGGAGCGGAAGCAGAGGCGGCGGCACGAUGCCGAUGCCGAUGCGAGGGCUCAGCUCCGUCCUGGCGCGGAGGGCCCGCUCACUGACCGGCGAUCCGGCGACCAUUCCUAGAUCCGCCGGUGGUCGGAUCACCUUAAGCGGCCGCCUGGACUCGGCAGCUGCGAGCACGAAGGCCUGUGAUGGUGGUGAAAUCGCCCGAUCCUGGAUCCCCAAGACAUCUACGAGCAAGUCCCUCGUCACAUCAGCCCUCUCUGGAUCUACCUGCAAGUCUAUCGUCACAUCAGCCCUCUCUGGAUAUACGUGCAAGUCCCUCGUCACAUCACCAGUGGCAUGUACUGUAGGAGACCCUGGGCUCUCCUCGAUCACCAAGGCUGUCUCAUCAAGCCAUGUCCCUCCAUUUGGGUUGAGGCCUGUUCACUCCAUACCGUGCCACCGUGUUCUCUAUCAGAGGCUUCUCUACACAGCAGGUGGGUGGUCCUCCUAAAAGAGGUGGCUCUCUCAUGCGCUUCCUAGGUGGUUUUAUAUGUCUGUGUGGAUCGUUGUUCGUUUUGUCUCUCAGUUCCCAACCUGAUUUGACACCCAUAGAGGAAGAUGGAAUAACACCUAUAGAGCAAGGAAUAAACUGGGUAAAACUAGGCUGCACACCUCCUGUGUCACCUCGCCAUAUCAACACUGGUUGUGGCUGUUGUUUUGCCAUUGUUGCCGUGCAAAAUCUGGAGUCUGUUGUGCUAAUUGAAACAGGGAAGUACUCACGAUUGUCAGUUCAGGAGGUCAUAGAUUGCCUUGGUAAGUGCAAAAAAGGCUUACUGUAUGGAUGUAAGGGGGGUUUUAUGUCUGAGGCAUUUACCUACAUGAUGAUGAAUGGAUUGGCUUCAGACAUUGACUAUCCGAUAAACUUAAUUCGGCGCCAAGGCCCCUGUCAGGCUGCUGACAAACCAAGAGCAAUUCAGCCUGCUGACAAACCCAAACCUGGAGCAAUUCAGGUCAUUGAGUGGGACCAGUUCCUGGGUCAUGAUGACUAUGUCAAACGGCUUCGCACUGACCCUCCAGUACCUGUUGAAGAUCAAUUUAAGAUUGCUUUGUUCACCUCACCUCUUUCUGUUCGGUUCAACGUCAACAAGUACUUUGUAAGAUAUGAUGGUAAAACCAUUAUCGAGCAUCAUCAGUGUCCGCCUCCUCGGAAGGGUAAAGGCCACAACCAUGCUCUAUUGCUGGUUGGUUUCGGAACUGACAGUCGUGGGAACAAGUUCUGGCUGGUACAAAAUACUUGGGGAGCAGGCUGGGGGAGAAAUGGCUAUGCUCUUCUUCGACGUGGUGGGGAUCCUCGAGGUGUAGGUGGAAUUACAGCUGGGUUUGCAUGUCGACCAGUCAUCAAGAAGUCUCCUUGAGAUAUGCUUGUUGUUUAAAUUUUGUAGCCAGUUUAUGGAAAUGAAUUAACUGAGCUUUGUAGGAUGAAUUAAUUAACACUAUUAUCGUGUAAGAGUCUCGUUCUAAAACCUAUGGAUCUGUGGAGGAUUUUAGGAGUAUAGCCAUUGGUAUGUUAUACGGAACUCUUUCAUAUUAACCUUGAUAUCUCCUGGUGUUUGGGGAGAGGUAACUUAGACUAGUGUCUCAUUUCGGUUCAAUAUUAAUUGUGUUUUUAGAAUCUUUGUUUUCAUCUCACUUUGAAGGAAU